CUCCGCAGCACCCGCCGCACCACGUCCGGGCUCACACCGAAUCCCUGGGCCAGGCGCUCCAGCGGCCACUCCUCGGGCAGCUCCUGCCGCAGGAACCUGCAGGAACAGCACGGUCACCACGGCACGGCCCCCGGGACACGGCCAGGCCCGCCCGGCCCCGCUCCUCACCGCAUCUGUUCCAUCGCCCGCCAGCUCAGGGUGUGCAAGGCACUGGCGUGGUGUGAGGCACAGAUGUGCAGCAUGCAGGCGGUAGAGGUGAUGGGGAGCUCCGGGACUGUGGCAGGGCUGAAGAUGCCAUUGCCUGUGACCUUGUCCAUGCUGGCUGGGGACACCGGGUGACAGCUGCCUGCACAGGACAGCCUGCUAGCUUCAUCUGGAAGAGCACAGGCAGAUGUGGGGGCCGGGCAGACACCAGAGCACUGUCAGCCCUCCCACUCCUCACACUCUGGCCAGCCCAGGAACAUCCGCAGCUCCUCUCUGCCUGCCCGCAGCUCCAGCUCACCGAGGAGCCUCCACAACAUGGACGUUCAGAGCCAAAGGUAAUUCAUACUCACAGCCUUCAGCCUUGGUUCCAGUGCCAGGCAGACACUGGCCUCUUGCCUGCAGCUCCGCGGGUCCGCUGCAGGGCUGGGGAACCGCUGCCAUCCCCGCUGCUGGACCACGCAGCCGGCCUGUGCUCUGCACCCGCUGCCGCACCAUGUGCUGCUCGUGGUACGGGAUGCGCUGGCCUCGAACGGAGAGGGUGCUGGCGGCAGGACCUGAGCUGGCUGGCGGCUGCACCUUGGCUUGGGGGUUGUGUGUGAACCGCUGUGCCGAAGGCUGGACCGGACCUCCCAGGAGUGAGAAGGGGAUGAGCGUCAUUAAGCAGUGGGUGUCCUGGCCCCCAAGGGCACCCCAGGGAAACUGUGGAUGGAAGGAAAGAAAGCAGCCAUGACUUAGCUCCAGAUGCCUUGGCACAAGGCACCUAGUCAUCUAGUCAUCUACAGGCGCUUGCUGAAGUGUCACCCUGCAGGUGCCAGGCACACCAGUCACCGUCCCGACUGGGAUUGUCGGGGUGACAGCAGCUGCCUGCUGGAGCCGCCUGUCCCCUGCCUGUGACGUUGGGCUGGGCUAGCACCGGGGCUGUGGGAAGAAACGCCAGAGCGGGCUGGGAAGACUCCAGCGAUGAAGGAUCUGACCCACCCCCAGAUUAUCCUUCACUACAGAAAAAAUUCUCCAGAUUUUAGGCAGAGCUUGGGUUUGAGGUUCUGCUCUGCUUUGUCUGGUAAAGGCAGCUACCAUCAGUUCUUACAGAUCAAAUCCCUUCUUAGGCUUCUUUAGUUAAAUUAAAUGGAUAGUUUCCAAUUUCUUGUAAGGUACUAGAAGACUGAAUAAUUCCUGCAACUCUGGUGCCUUGAGCCCAUCAGCACCCUCCUGAUGUGUCACCCUUCCCGGCAGGAGCAGGAGGCUUUCUGGAAGCAGACGGUGCUGCUGGAUGGCAAUGGCCCUUUUGCAAGGUUUUUAAUUACUGGCAGGUCCAGAAACAGCCCUUUCCUUACACAGCAGGUGACCAUCAAUGCCCCAGAACCCCCAGGGGCCUCCCCCCUUGUGCUUUUAGACCAGUAGCCUGGUUUGGGACUCAGUGUGGCAGCCAAGGCUCAGUUUGGAGAACCAGGCAGAUCUGCCUUAACUGCAGGUCCAAACCCUGGUUCCCCAUCGCAAUACUCAGCAAAGCCCAACCUGCAGCUGCUCCUCGGGACGGGCUGGAGUGCAGCACCGAGGGUUUGCAGCGUGAUGGGCUCUCGCAGAGUGAGGGUGGCUGAAGAGGGAGCCCCAGACUGAGGGCUGAGACUGCAGGUUUUAGGCACAUGCACCAGCUCCUCACCUUUCCCAUGUGGGGGGCGGUGCCAUGCAGAAAGGAAGAUGCUCAGGGAGAGGCAUUGUUUGCAGUACAUAAUUCACCUAAAGACUUCUUUUUGCUUGUUUUUAGGCAUCCCCACUCUUCCUUUUAGGGCCUCUUUGCUGUGUGUGCUCUGUUACCAUGCUCCUGUCAUGUUAGUGCUCCUGGCUCCUGGCCUAUCCAGGAAUUACUUCUAUUCAGCUAGGAAUCACAGGACUGCCCUGGAGUAGCAGCUCACACAGAGCUGUGUGCUGGGGACAACAGUGUCCCCACAGCAACAGUGCAGUGGCCUGCUCUCCUGUGGCAGGGAGUGGGUCCCCGGGGGAAGGUGACAGGAGCUCCAUGCAGGUGACCGGCGCAGCUCCAGCACAUCCCUUUGGAAAGGGACAAAGACAUGUCACCCACUGCCCCAGGCGCUGCAUCGGAUCUCAUUGAACUGAGCCACACCAGAGAUACUCAAUGCCCGUGGUUCAUUCCUCAAACUCCUUCUGCAAGUGGCCGACUCCUGUGCUGGCCUCGCAGGACGUGUCUGGGCCAUCUUCAGUUACCUGGCUCUUGGGGACAGCGGUGCAGGAUCUGUGCAUGUCAGCUGGUCUGUCUGUUGCUGGGAGCAGCUGGGUGAGCUGCUCUAUGAUGCCCAGGCCUCGGAUAAGGUUCUCACGCUGCAGAAGAGCAUUUACUCUUUUCUUCUCCUCAUAUUCCACAAUAUCCUGGGGUUGCAUGGAGUCGUAUUGCAAGCGCUGUGCCUUAGAAAGAAGCACUAGAGUUACAGCAAAGCUGAAGCACUAGUGAUGCACAAAAGUGACAAUGCCCCAGGCUGCUCUGAGCACUAAGGAGAGUUACAGACUUUGGGCUGGAGCGGGAUGAAGAUGCCAGUAGGAGCCACAACAGGGAAGGGACAACACUGGUGCCUGCAGGUACCUGCCAGCAUGAGCUUGUCAGCUCUGCAGCCUCUCAGUUCUGGUCCCUGGGAGACACCCACGGCCCAGCACUGGUCCCAGAGCCCAUAGCCAGGCAGUGACCAGAGCAAGGUACCUUUCUGUCCCACAUCCUAGUCCUUCUGGAGCUGAGGCGUGUUGUGGGAGCUGUGUUUUUAUUAUGGAUCUGGGAUUUCUCCCCAGCUGUCUCUCCUUGCAGGUCUUCUUUCCUCUCAGUUUUCUUCUUCUUGGUAACAGCUUCCAACUUUUCUUUUUUCAGGCGAAUUUCCUCCAGUUGCUGCCUGCCAUGGAACAACAGUCUUGGUCACUGGUUCAAUAAGAGGUAUAACAGCAAAAUGAAGCCUUCAAUCUGAGCAUAUUUUACUUAGCCAGAUGUUCUGUAGUGAAUAAACCAUAAUAGAAGUGUGCCAAGAAA